UUUGUGAGAUGAUGACUCUAUUCCAACUUAAGCAUCGGCGAUGCUGAAUUUGACAUUUGCACGUCAGUCUGAUCUCAAA
rfam:Morus notabilis contig21961, whole genome shotgun sequence.